rnacentral:rRNA from 1 species
CCUACGGGAGGCAGCAGUGAGGAAUAUUGGUCAAUGGGCGGGAGCCUGAACCAGCCAAGCCGCGUGAGGGAAGAAGGUACAGCGUAUCGUAAACCUCUUUUGUCAGGGAACAAAGGCGGGGACUAGUCCCCGGAUGAGGGUCCCUGAAGAAAAAGCAUCGGCUAACUCCGUGCCAGCAGCCGCGGUAAUACGGAGGAUGCGAGCGUUAUCCGGAUUUAUGGGGGUAAAGGGGUGCGCAGGCGGCCUGUUAAGUCAGCGGUAAAAGCCCGGGGCUCAACCCCGGAGAGCCGUUGAAACUGGCGGGCUGGAGUUGGAGAGAGGUACGCGGAAUGCGCGGUGUAGCGGUGAAAUGCUUAGAUAUCGGGCGGAACCCCGAUUGCGAAGGCAGCGUACCGGCUCCACACUGACGCUGAGGCACGAAAGCGUGGGUAUCGAACAGGAUUAGAUACCCCGGUAGUC